rnacentral:rRNA from 1 species
UACGGAGGGUGCGAGCGUUAAUCGGAAUUACUGGGCGUAAAGCGCGCGUAGGCGGUUAUUUAAGUGAGGUGUGAAAUCCCUGGGCUCAACCUAGGAACUGCAUUUCAAACUGGAUAACUUGAGUAUGUCAGAGGGUAGUUGGAAUUUCCCCGUGUAGCAGUGAAAUGCGUAGAUAUGGGAAGGAACAUCAGUGGCGAAGGCGAAUACCUGGGAUAAUACUGACGCUGAGGUGACGAAAGCGUGGGGAGCAAACGGGAUUAGAUACCCUGGUAG